rnacentral:misc_RNA from 1 species
CUGAACGCCUCUAAAUCAGAAA